CGGCCACCGCUAUUGGUAUUCGAUUAAGACAUGCGAGUCGAGAGACGUAAGGUCUCGGCGGACCGCUGAGUAACACGCGGAUAACAUGCCCUGGGGCGGGGGAUAACCUCGGGAAACUGAGAAUAAUACCCCAUAGGUUUAGGGUGCUGGAAUGCUUCUAUGCUGAAAACUCCGGUGCCCCAGGAUUGGUCUGCGGCUUAUCAGGUUGUAGUGGGUGUAACGGACCCACUAGCCUAUGACGAGUAUGGGCCUUGAGAGAGGAAGCCCACAGAUGGACUCUGAGACAUGAGUCCAGGCCCUACGGGGCGCAGCAGUCGCGAAAACUUCACAAUGGGAGAAAUCCCGAUGAGGGAAUACCAAGUGCCAGCACUUUUGUGUUGGCUGUUCUCCUGUCUAAAAAACAGGAGAAGUAAGGGCCGGGUAAGACGGGUGCCAGCCGCCGCGGUAAUACCCGCGGCCCGAGUGGUGGUCGAUAUUAUUGAGCCUAAAACGUCCGUAGCCGGUCUCAUAAAUCCUUGGGUAAAUCGGCCAGCUUAACUGUCCGAAGUCCGAGGAGACUGUGAGACUUGGGAUCGGGAGAGGUCAGAGGUACUUCUGGGGUAGGGGUAAAAUCCUGUAAUCCUGGAAGGACCACCGGUGGCGAAGGCGACUGACUAGAACGAAUUCGACGGUGAGGGACGAAGCCCUGGGGCGCAAACGGGAUUAGAUACCCCGGUAGUCCAGGGUGUAAACGCUGCGGGCUUGGUGUUGGGGGUCCUUUGUGGGCGCCCAGUGCCGGAGAGAAGUUGUUAAGCCUGCUGCUUGGGGAGUACGUCCGCAAGGAUGAAACUUAAAGGAAU
rnacentral:rRNA from 1 species